UGCAAGUCGAGCGGACAGAAGGGAGCUUGCUCCCGGAUGUUAGCGGCGGACGGGUGAGUAACACGUGGGUAACCUGCCUGUAAGACUGGGAUAACUCCGGGAAACCGGAGCUAAUACCGGAUAGUUCCUUGAACCGCAUGGUUCAAGGAUGAAAGACGGUUUCGGCUGUCACUUACAGAUGGACCCGCGGCGCAUUAGCUAGUUGGUGAGGUAACGGCUCACCAAGGCGACGAUGCGUAGCCGACCUGAGAGGGUGAUCGGCCACACUGGGACUGAGACACGGCCCAGACUCCUACGGGAGGCAGCAGUAGGGAAUCUUCCGCAAUGGACGAAAGUCUGACGGAGCAACGCCGCGUGAGUGAUGAAGGUUUUCGGAUCGUAAAGCUCUGUUGUUAGGGAAGAACAAGUGCAAGAGUAACUGCUUGCACCUUGACGGUACCUAACCAGAAAGCCACGGCUAACUACGUGCCAGCAGCCGCGGUAAUACGUAGGUGGCAAGCGUUGUCCGGAAUUAUUGGGCGUAAAGGGCUCGCAGGCGGUUUCUUAAGUCUGAUGUGAAAGCCCCCGGCUCAACCGGGGAGGGUCAUUGGAAACUGGGAAACUUGAGUGCAGAAGAGGAGAGUGGAAUUCCACGUGUAGCGGUGAAAUGCGUAGAGAUGUGGAGGAACACCAGUGGCGAAGGCGACUCUCUGGUCUGUAACUGACGCUGAGGAGCGAAAGCGUGGGGAGCGAACAGGAUUAGAUACCCUGGUA
rnacentral:rRNA from 1 species